rnacentral:tRNA from 1 species
GCCUCCGUGGCGCAAUCGGCUAGCGCAUUCGGCUGUCAACCGAAAGCUGGAGGUUAGAGCCCUCCCGGUGGCG